CUGGCGGCGUGCCUAACACAUGCAAGUCGAACGAGAAAGUGGAGCAAUCCAUGAGUAAAGUGGCGACCGGGUGAGUAACACGUGACUAACCUACCUCCGAGUGGGGAAUAACUCCGGGAAACCGGGGCUAAUACCGCAUAACAUCGCAAGAUCAAAGCAGCAAUGCGCUUGGAGAGGGGGUCGCGGCUGAUUAGCUAGUUGGCGGGGUAACGGCCCACCAAGGCGAAGAUCGGUAUCCGGCCUGAGAGGGCGCACGGACACACUGGAACUGAAACACGGUCCAGACUCCUACGGGAGGCAGCAGUGGGGAAUUUUGCGCAAUGGGGGAAACCCUGACGCAGCAACGCCGCGUGGAGGAUGAAGCCCUUUGGGGCGUAAACUCCUUUCGACUCGGACGAUAAUGACGGUACGAGUGGAAGAAGCACCGGCUAACUCUGUGCCAGCAGCCGCGGUAAUACAGAGGGUGCGAGCGUUGUUCGGAAUUAUUGGGCGUAAAGGGCGCGUAGGCGGUGCGGUAAGUCACCUGUGAAAUCUCCUGGCUUAACUGGGAGUCUGCAGGCGAAACUACCGUGCUGGAGUGUGGGAAAGGUGCGUGGAAUUCCCGGUGUAGCGGUGAAAUGCGUAAAUAUCGGGAGGAAACACUGUGGCGA
rnacentral:rRNA from 1 species